AUGUUGAGUUUGUUGUGUUCACAUCGGUUUGUAUCACUGUGGUACACGUUCGGUGGAGGAACCAGACUGGACGUUGGAAGUGACGUCCGUCCCACCCUGACGGUGCUGCCCCCCUCCAGUGAGGAGCUGCGGCAGGGGAAGGCCACGCUCAUGUGUCUGGCCAACAAGGGCUUCCCCUCAGACUGGACUCUGUCCUGGAAGGUGGACGGCAGCAGCAGCAGCAGCAGCAGCAGCUGGGAGGAGAGCAGGAGCCCCGGGGUGCUGCAGAGGGACGGCCACUACAGCUGGAGCAGCACCCUGAGGCUCCCUGCAGACCAGUGGGGGAAGGUGGGCUCUGUGACCUGCGAGGCCACCCAGGGCUCCCAGACUCCUCUCUCAGAGACGCUGAGGAGAGACCAGUGUUCCCAGUCCUGACCUGCCUCACUGAGACUCUGCUACUGGUUUUACUCUGCUACUGCUCUCACUCUGCACUCUGUCUCUGUCUGUUAUCUGACAAAUAGAAAUAUUCACUAGAUUGUUGCACCGUUUCAAUAUUAUUUCAGUGUUUGCAGAAAAUAAAGACGUGUUCUUCAAA